AGAAUCAACGCUGGCGGCGUGCCUAACACAUGCAAGUCGCACGAGAAAGGGGCUUCGGCUCUGAGUAAAGAGGCGCACGGGUGAGUAACACGUGACUAACCUACCUUCGAGUGGGGAAUAACCUGGGAAACCCGGGCUAAUACCGCAUAAUACCUACGGGUCAAAGGAGCAAUUCGCUUGAAGAGGGGGUCGCGGCAGAUUAGUUAGUUGGCGGGGUAAUGGCCCACCAAGACGAUGAUCUGUA
rnacentral:rRNA from 1 species